UUUGUUCCUGCUCUGUCCACCAUACCGCCGUCUCCCCCAAAUUAACCCCUCAAUUAGCCAUCAACCGUGAGCCCACUAAAUUGAUGGCAGAAGUCAGCACAGGGAUAGCUUUUAGGUAUCGUUUAUUGGUGAAUUUUUUUUUUGCUAUCAAUUUACCGGGAAAUAAUGUGAAGUGUAAAUUGGGUUAUUGGUAAAACUAGGAUUCGAAUUCAAUUGAAAUUUCAGUUCAUUUACGGUGUAUUUAUUAAAAAUCUAUUUUAUUUGUGGUACGAUUAUAAUGUGGUAUAGUUAUUAAAUUUUGUAGUGGUAAAAUAAUUACUGUUUCGCGUGGGUAGUUGCUAACAAUUAAAAAGAGAUCAGACGAUUGUGUAAGGGACAAAUCUCUUGAGACAAAGUUUCAAAAAUGGAUGUUUUAUUGGCAAUGACUUUACAAUUGGAAUUUAAACAGAAAUGCCUCCAAGGGGCGCAAGUACACGAGUACUGAAAAGAAAUGUAAGUCUAAACUAAGGAACCGAAAUUACAUAUUCUCUGUUUGAGAGUGUUUGAUUCGGGUCCUUUGCUUUAUAUCUUUUCUUCCUUUUAUAUUCCUUUGAUGCUCUCUUUGUGAUCAACCGCUUAGGAUCCGCUUAAUUGCUUCAUAACUGCCCACUUUCUUCAUGGUGGCCAACUUAUCGUGGAACUUCCGUCUCUAACUGCUGCCAUUACUCUUUGUCGUUCAACCGUCCUCAACUGAACAUCCUUGAAUCUUGGAACGUGAUAAAAUUACCCAAUAACUGCUUCGAUAAUUGCACUUUUGGAUAACCAUAAUAUCUCAUGUUUGCUAAGAUCCUGGGCGAUUCGAAGGUUUGGACGAGAACAGGGUCAUAACUCUGGGCGACUGCAAGGCACUUCAUUCGCUCAGAUCCUAGGCGUCUUGUAAGUUUAGGCGAUGGUGUUACCGCGUUCGUGGGCUUCCACUGCAUUCAUUAAUAACCCUAUUUGGGCCUUUAUCCUGAAUUGCCAAGUUGGGCUUCAUUCUUUGGGCUAUUUGAAUUGAGCUGCACUUUUAGCAUGUCAACAAUUACCCCCCCAAUAUAGAAAAAUUAAUACCAAUUAUUAAUUUUUGCCAUAUUCACUUUGUGUUUCCCAACAACAUUUGAAAUUUCCAAGAAUUUCAAUCAUUAUUUUCUUCCAUAGCCUGAAAAGGUGCGACGUUGCAAACCUUUAUAACCCCCAAAUACACGCCAUUUCAUCACACUACUAAAUUACGUCUCAUUGCUUCGCGCUUCUCUCUCGCAAUAUUACUGUUCAUCUUCUUGCUUCUCUGCUACGUUUCUCAAGCAAACUUUAACAAAACUUUAUUUUGUUCCUAAUGGCUGCUUCACAAUCCCAAUCUAGUGACUCUUUCAGUUUCGAAGACUUCCAGAAACUCCUCACUCAGCCAUAUAUAACUCCUAACUUUCUUGCACCAGCCAAUACUGAAUCCAACGAGUUCUAUCUAGGUCCCUCAUUCAACAACGCCGAGGCCGUCAAACAAGUGGCGGUGGGCCAGCUGUUCCCUUGUACUCAAGGCCCUCCAUUUCUAAACUCUUUGCCGCUAAGGCCGCUUCGUGAAAGAGGUAUUCGCACUUGGCCUAAAUCUGAUGUUGUUUUCCGUAGAUGGCAUGCUCGCCUUGUGGACCAUGGUCCUACCAAGGCAAUUUUUGAUAAUGCUAGGAUUUCUGAUUUGCUAGAAAUCUCUCUUCAACCCCUUAUUUUUGAUUCAGUGCUUUUCCCUAUUGCAUUAGGUUUUUGAUCCUCUGAGUAUAAUACUUUUAUUUUUCCUCUUGGUCCAACGUCCAUUACUUUAAGGGAUGUUGGGGCCUUAGUAAAUUUACCACCUUUGGGUGAUACCAUUUUCCCUGGUAUUUUGAUUUUUGGUAUUGACAAAAAAAUCACCGAGUCCUAUUCAAGCCUGUAAGGCUGUUAUAAUCACUCGAACGCUGAGAGUGUGGCCUUUUUUCAGAUUUGGCUUUGUAAAUAGAUUCUGUGUGUGCCAAGCCUGAAACCUUCUAUGAGCUAUUUAUCCAUAGCACACGAAUUGACGCGUGGUAGGCCUCUGAAUUUGUGUUCUUUCUUUUUAGCCGCCCUUUAUAGAGGCAUGACUUCUCUCCAAUUCCAAUUGAAGAAUGGUGCAUCUCCCACUGACAGUGGGCCUCUUUGGUUCACUCAAAUGUGGUUGAGAGCCUAUUUUCCAUCACUUGGUACUCUAUCCCUUUCCCUUCAUUCUGCUAGUUGCUAUGGGCUAGCUAUUGACCCACUGAGCCCUGUACAUAUGUCCAAAAGGGAUAUUUUUUCAUUCUUUUAUACUUUGAAUUCAAUUCCUUCUUUCUUUCCUUUUUCUCCCUUUUAACUCCUGAUUAUGUGCACCCCCCCAUCUACCCUGGAAAAUGCGAGCACCUCUCUGCUCGUUUGGUUUCAGUUUUUGACCGUGAGGGAGGUGUUCCAUGAUAUUUUGACUGGAACUAAUGCCAAAGCUGGGGUUGAAAUAUAUGUUCCCCAAUUUUUUGUUCGUCAACUUGGUUUCGGCCAAACUUGACUUGUUCCCCCUUGUUAUUCAAAAAAUUUGAUAGAUCGCUUCUACACCAUAAAUAAGGCAGAGGCAGAAGUUAUAAAUGCUCGCAAUAUUCUUUUGACGAGUAACUUUUCAUUAGCUCCUUUCAAUCCUAGCCAUGCCACCCAUCCCCUUUUUGAACAACUCUAGCCAUCAGUGCAGCGCCGAUUGUUUGCAACUGAUGUCAAUCGCGCUUUCCAUUUACUGGAUCAGCCGGACAUUUCUUCCACUUUCCCUGUUUUGGUCACCCCUGCGUCCAUUAGGAGUCCUUCCUCUUCUGGUCGUGCUAAACAGUCUAUUCGUCCAUCUACUUCCCUUCCUGCCAAGCCUACUGCAUCUAAAAGUAUCCCAAACCGCAAACGGCCAGCCUCAGCAUCUCCCAUUUUGGAAGAUGAUGAUGAUGAUGAUGAUGAUGACACUCCUCUCAUUGUCAGGAGAAAGGUAAUUAAAUUAGUUUACUCACAAGCAUACCUUUCUAUACUUGAAACUUUUCUAUGUGCUGAUGGUUUAUUCGGAUUUCUCAGAAAAGCUCAGCCUCUCCUUCAAAGGCUUUGGUGUUGGCAGCUCCUACUCCAUCACCCUUUGCUGAGGCUGUUUCAUCCAAACCAGCUGAUGAAGGGACUACGUUUAAAGAGAAACCUUCAGUCCCGAAAUCCUCAUCACAACCAAUGGAUGAGCCACCUUCUUCUCAGGGCGUCAACCCCCCAAACGUUGAACCAGAAGGUAAUAUAUUUUUUGAUGUUUUACCUUUGCUUGUGCUAUUGGUUUUUGAUUUGUUGCUUUUUGAGCUUUGCAGAUGCUCCCAUGGGUUUGCUCAUUAUGGCAAAGUCUUCUCGCUCAGACAAAGGGACGUCUUCAGAAGUGGUGGAGCCACAGGUGGUAGAUUUGGCUGGGGAUAUGCCACCUCUCAAGAUCGCUGAUGAGGUAAUCUCUGCUUCACUUUUACUUCCACUUUGUUCAUUGUAGUGAAAACUUUCAAUGUUGGCAACUUUAUUUGUAGGAUACUGAUAAGAUUGUGCGUUCCAUCCAGGACUUGUUCACUUCCUGGGGGCAAGUCAAGAUGUCUCGCCCUGCUUCAACCAGUCGUCCUUCUGCUUCUUCAGAGGAAGAUAUGAAGUUCCUCAAGCAGUCAAUAUUUGAAUAUGUGCCCUUUAUGGAUAUGGAUAUCGGUCAGGCUAGUGCUGCCAAACAUAAGGAUAAGCUUGAGCAUUUGAGUGCGAAGUUGGAGCAAGAACUGACACUUCUGUCGCUCAAUCUUUCUACUGAUUUUAAAGUGAUGUUGAAAGUUGUCCAUUCUGAGGUUCUCUCCUUACUGAAGGCCAAAAGUACUCAAUAUCUUCACGCUGUAUCUGAAAGAGAAUUUUUGCUUCUGGAGAUCAACAAAGCUAAAGACGAAUUGAAAGAAAUCUCUUCUGAAAUCAUGAUUGAAAACUCUUUGAUGACCAAUUUGGCUGCACAAAUGAAGGAGCUUCAAGCAAAGAUGGACGACUGCAAGGCGAGAAUGGCUGCCAAAAAAUGCAAUGCCUCCCAAGGAAUUGAGCGAACAAAGUCUUUGGUCGAGCAGUACAAGAAGCUAGAGGUUGAUGAUGAUUUUGUGGCUGAAUUGAAUGUCACUUCUUCUCAGCAGAGCGAGAAUUGGGGGAGACUUAGGGAAAGGAUUCGUUCAGUCUGGGAUGAUUUGUAAUUAAGACAUCUAAUGCCUUAACUUUUCUUUUCGUAAUUUCAUAUUAAUUUUCCCUUUGUAACCUCGCACUAAAUUCUGAACAUACCAGCAACCAUUAUCAUUAAUGAACGAUUAACUUGUCUUCUUGUGUAUUUAUUGACGUUGUCUUUAAUCGUCAACCCCCCAAACAUUUAACUGCUUUAUGCUAAGAUUCAUGUACAUUUUCUCUUGGUAUUUUUGUCUCUUUCCCCAAGAUUUCAGGCCAUUUGAUUCUAGUUACUAGGUACAAAUGUGGUUGUUCAUAUUCUGUCUCUUCACCUUCACGCCUCUAUAAAUGCACUUAUAUUCCACACUUGUCAUUUUCACUUCCAUUUUCUUCUUCAAAACCAAUUUGCUGCCAUUGUUUGGCAUUUUGACAAUUGAUCCAAAACCUUCGUCUUCCAUGGAAAUGGAUCAUUUGAUCCGUCCAUUUUGCCAUCUUUCUUGAUGCCACUUUUGAUAUGGGAGAUAUAGGAAAUAUUCUUUGGCAAAGUUCUUCCCAUCGUCUCCAUAUUCCUUACAAGGAGUUCGAUGAUGGAAGACAAUUUUUGAGGACGCCUACAAGCCACCUUGCUUGCUGAGAGUGCUUCUCAGCCUCCUUGCCUGUCAUUGUAGCGAUGCAUUUAGGAAGGCAAAUUGAGGGUGCUUCUUCUUCCUUUCUACUUGCUGAGAGUGCUUUUUGACCUCUCUGUUUGCCUUUGCAGCAGUGCGAUCAGGAUGGCAAUCAAGGCCAGUACACCCUCUUACUCGGCGAUCGACCGAGAGAUUAGUUUGCUCUUAAUUGUAAUUUAUAGAAUAUUUAACAUUUUGUAUUUUGCAACUUUGUAAUGAACGUUUGAUAAUAAAGGAAUUUAUUUGAACGUAUUUCGCUCUGGCCCUUUUUUCUCUACGAUCGUUCAAUGCGAUUUGAUUACGCUUUCAUUUGUUCUCUUUUCCAUAAGGAGGGAACAUAUUUUUUUUUAUAAUAUUUACCAUUAAUGAACCUUAUGUGCUUGGUGCCGUCUAAAUCUUCCAAAUGAUAGGCUCCAUUAGGCAACACAUUAUUUACUUUAUAUGGUCCUUCCCAAUUGGGCGACCACUUGUCAUACUUUGGAUCUUUGCUAUCCAAAGGGAGUACUAUUUUCCAAACCAAUUCGCCCAGGCUGAACGACUUGGCUAUAACCUUUUUAUUAUAAAAUUUAGCCAUUCUUCGUUUUUGAACUUGUAAUCUAUCUAGGAUGUCCAACUUUAAUUCGUCCAACUCCAAUAAGUUUUGAACCAAUGAUUCAGUAUUCUCAUCACCACUUAACUUAUGUUGCAAACACACUCUGAUUGAUUGCACGUUGAUUUCCAUAGGCAAAAACGGCAUCUUGUCCAUAAGUAAGUUGGAAAAGAGUAAUUUUUGUACUUGACCGAGGUGACGUCCUAUAAGCCCAUAAGGCCUUGUUUAGACAUUCGUGCCAAUUUCUGGCAUUUUCAUCUAUCAUUUUCCUUAUGAUAUUUUUUAGAAUCUUAUUAGAAGAUUCUGCUUGUCUGUUGGAUUGAGUGUAAUAUGGUGUUCACUAAUUUAACUCCAAACUUGCCCAAGAAUUUAUUCACUUGAUCCCCAUUUAAAGAUGUUCCGUGAUCUACAAUCAAAGUUUGUGGAAUUCCCAAUCUAUAAAUGAUGUGGUCACGGAUAAAUUUUAUGACAUUCUUUUGAGUGAUCUCCUUUAAAGGUAUCGCUUUUACCCACUUAGUGAAAUAAUCAGUUGCAACUAUAAUAAAUGUAUGUUGUUUGGACGAUGGGGGAUAAAUCUUCCCUAUCAGGUCUAUCGCCCAACCCUUAAACGGCCAAGAUUUGAUAAUAGGGGCCAUCUCUCGUGCUGACGCCCUUUGUAUUGGACCAUACUUUUGGCAUGCUAGACAACUCUUUGCAUACUGAAUGCAUUAUUCUCCAAUCUUUGGCCAGAAAUAUCCAUUCUUAAUAAUUAACCAUCUCAUCCUUUGGCCAGUUUGGUGAGCUCCACAUAUCCUUUCGUGCACUUCAGCCAUGAUCGUCCUGACUUCUUGCAAACUUACACAUUUUAGCAAUAUACUAUCAGAGCGUUUCUUAAACAACUCUUCAUCUAUCAGUGUAUAGUUUAGCAAACGCAACUUUAUUUUUCUACUAUCUCCUUUAUUAGGUCCUUUAAGAAACCUUUUGAUCUCUACCCUCCAAUCUAUUGCAUCUCCAUCUUGUAUACAAUGAAUUUCAAUCGUUUUCGCCCUUCUUUGGAUCACGGGCAAUAUUGUUACAUACUCACAAGCAGACUUCCAAUUAAAAACCUUUGAGUACCCUGAGGCCAUCUGGGCCAAUUCGUUUGCUACGUCAUUAUAUAUCCUAUUAACACAUUUUGAUGCUCUUUUUUCCAGACGAAUUCCUCCUAAUUUUUUAACUUUAAAAGCGGCGAAAAAGCUUUAGUUCGCCGCCCUGCACAGUUAGAAAUAAAGCGUCUUAAAAAGUUUACUUGGCCUAGAAACCUUUGCAAUUCUUUUUUAUUGUUAGGUGGUUUGGCCUCUAAAAUGGCCUUCGCUUUAUUUUUAUCAAGUUCAAUCCACCUCUUAUGUACUAAGAAACCAAGAAAAUUCCCUGCAUUAAUACCAAAUGCACAUUUCAAGGGAUUCAACUUUAGUUUAUAUUACCUCAUUCGCUCAAAUGAACGUCUUAAUUGUUUAAAAUGGUCCUCUUCUUUAAGGGAUUUGACUACUAUAUCAUCUACAUACACUUCAAUAAACUUGCCUGUCAUAUCAUGAAAAAUCAAAUUCAUUGCCAUUUGAUAAGUUGCUCCUGUAUUUUUCAGGCCGAAAGACAUAACUACCCAUUCAAAACAUCCUAGAGACCCAGGGCAUCUAAAGGCAGUUUUGUGUAUAUCUUCCUCAGCUAUGUAAAUUUGAUUGUAUCCUGAAUACCCAUCCAUGAAGGAAUACAUCACAUGUCCGGCAGUCAAGUCUACUAAAGAAUCUACUGUAGGCAUUGUAUAUUCAUCUUUAGGUGUGGCUAUGUUUAAAUUCCUAAAAUCUAUGCACACCCUUAGUUUACCAUUCUUUUUUAAUAUCGGUACGAUAUUGGACAACCAUUCAACAUAUCUGCCCGUUCUAAUAAAGUCUGCUUUUAAUAAUCGCUCUAUCUCUUCCUUAAUUUCAGGGAGUACAUUAGGAGCGAAAUGCCUAGGAGGUUGCCUAUGGGGUUUAAAAUUAGGCUUGGUUGGUAAUCUAUGUUCCACCAAAUCUCUAUCUAAACCAAGCAUAUGUUCAUAUUCCCAAACAAAACAAUCUUUGUACUCCUUUAAUAAAGCGAUUAAUUUAUCACUAACCUCUUGAUUGAGCAUUUGGCUGAUGAACGUUGGGCGAUCUUCUCCUUCAUUGCCAAUAUUCGCCUUAAGCAGGAGGUCUUGUGCUUGAGCGUAUCCAGGCUUGACGAUCCUUAUCACUUCGUCGUCCAGUUCCCUUGUAAGCACUUCUUCUUCUAAACAAUCCACCUUGUUGAUUUCUCGACCAAUAUUUUGUUCCAACUCGAACACUGCCAAUUUGUCUCUCAAUGCUUUCAAGACUGCGGCUUCUUUCAUCUUGUCCUUGCAUUCUUCAUUGAAAGCCAUUAAUUUGGCUUUGAAGGCCUGAAUAUCGACCAUCUGUCUUUGUUGCUUACAACUCAUUUAAAACUCCUUGAUUAUUUUUUUGCCAAUUACUGGCUCCUCCAGGGCCAUUAUGUUUGGCCUCAUCUGAUUGAACAUUUCAGUGAGUGCAUCAACCGAAAACGGCUCUUCACUCUGCGCGACGAUCUGAGUUUCUUUUCCAUCAUGGACUACUCUGACAAGUCCAUAAUUUCCUUCGUACAUGAACCUUUCCACUGAGUUUGCUUCUGCAACAAAAGGCCUAUGAUCGGCCUGUACCACCUCUGCUUCGCCCUUGUCAUUCCAAAAAACUAGGCAUUAAUGGAGCGAGGAAGGUAUACAGCGACUUCCGUGUAUCCAAUCUCUUCCUAAUAACACAUUGUAACUAGUGAGACCAUCUAUUACAAAGAAGACUGUGGUCCUAGUAGUUGUUCCUAUAGUUAUAUCCAAUGGCAUAACCCCUUUAGCUGAAGUUGCUCCUCCAUUGAAACUUGUCAGGAUGACUUUCGUUGGAAUCAUAUCACCUUCUGUCUUUGCGAAUUUCCUCAUCAUCCUAGAUAGAAUGGUGUUUAUAGCUGCUCCAUUAUCGACAAGCACUUUUGCCACAGGUAUGCCGUUAACUAGAGCUUUAACGUACAAUGGCCUCAAGUGUUUGAUCAAUUUCAUGGCUGGUCGCUUAAAAAUAACUUUUUUCGGCAGCACCUAUUUCCACUUCCUGCUUGUCCUCUAUCGAGUUACCUUUUUUUGAUAAGUCAACGUGCAGCAUAUCGCACUGAGCCUCUGUCUCCUGAAUUUCAUUUUUACUGUUUUCUAAUGCUUCUUCUUCAGUUACCCAACCUGUGGGAGGAGGCAUUAUUCUUGGAGGUAAUCCAUACUUUUCAGAGCGAGGUACUCUCUUCUUCCUUUUAGGCAUCCCGUACAGCACGUAAAAAUCAAAAGAACGCCCAGAUGGUUCUCCCAAUAAGUCUACUUCACGAACUCCCUCUCGAUGUAGUUGCUUCAACAGAGUGUUGUACGAUACUCCUCUUCUUCUUCUUUCUGCCUCUAGAUCAAUUUUCUUCUCGAUGUCUGUCAUACCAUCAUCUUCUUCACCAUUGUAGGCUUCUCUAGAAGUUUGGACUUCUUCAUAUUCCAACAUGCAUGCUUCCUCUUCGUUAUCCUCUUUUUCUUCUUCUCCUUUCUCUUUAUUCUUGAACUCAUUGGCUAGUAAAUAGUAAUUAGCCACAACAAGAAGUAACGUACCAAAUUGGAUAGUAAGGGGUUGAUCUGGAUCUUCUGUAUCCCCUCUGUCUUUCUCAAACUUCGACUUCCCAGAAGAAGUCUCUGGCAAUUCUUCCAUAGGUUCGCCUGUACCAGUCUCUUCACUGUCUUUGAGAACAUUCUCAUUAGCCGCUUCGAGUAGUCUAUAUGCCAUAGGACGCAGCAUUCCCUGUUGUUGCCUCAUCAUUCGCCCGUAGUUCCGUUGAAAAUGUCUUUGUUGGGUUCUAGUCAUCUCAUUGAAAGGUAUUGCCCUUCCAGCCUCAUACUGGAAAGAAUGCCAUACGUUUGGUUGGCGAGGUUGCGAUCUAAAUGUUCUCCCAUUAUUUACUGGCCUGAACUGCCUCUCAAAAGGCGGUCCCUUAUAGAACGAUGUACCGUACCUUCUACCAGGCUGAGCGUUUGGGAAAAAACUAGGGCGAUGGUGAUGCUGCCAUAUCCUUGGUUUCUUUGCAUUUACACUCACUUCUUUUUUGCACCUUACACAUAGGACGUCUUCGUCCUUUUUGGGUUCUUUCCCUUUGAUACGUUCAAAGACACUGGGAUGUGGUCCAGCUUCUUCUUCUCCAUCAUCUAUAACCAACUUGAAUUUUGACAACUUGUUUCUGAAACCAGACGUCACCAUGUUCAUUCCAAGUGGCUGUGGAAAAGGAUUUUCAUCCACUGCCAUCUUCCUCUUAUCCUCGAACGUAAUUCGUCAUUUUUCAAUGGCAUCGUGUAAUACAUGGCGAAAAAUCAAAUAAUUGUUAGUCAAAUGUGACCAUGCAUUAUGCCACUUACAAUAUUUUUUACCCUUAAUUUGUUCAGGGCUUGGCAAUUUAUGCUUAUCGCUCAACUUUAUUUGUUUAUCCUUAUAUAAUUUAUCAAAUAUAAGGUUAGCUUUGGUUACAUUGAACGAGAACGUUCUAGCCUUUAUGUUUUUAUCUUUUAUAGGCUCAUCUUUGCCUGACGGUCUAGGCUUAGCCAUUAUAGGACAAGUAUACGUGUCUCCUUUAACUAAUUCGGCCAAACACAUUUCGGUUUGAUCGUAAUACUCGUCGUUAAUGGUAUGAACAUCAAAAUUUGGGUCUCUAUAAUAAGUUCCUUUGCUAAAAUUUUUCAUUUGUUCUUCCUCUCUUAUUAAUUGUUCUUACCUAAUCACGUUCACGCUCAAUUGGAAAAGAUCAGAAAAUUCAUUGUCUUGGAACUUCUUCUUCAAAUCAAAGCUUAGACAACCUUGAGCGAUUUUGACAAACUUAUUUUCGGGCAAAGGUACAAAACAUUUAUUUCUUGCUGUUUUAAACCUUUGAAGGAAACCUUCUGCCCAUUCGUUUGACAUUUGACGUAAAUUCGCCAAAUCGGCCAAAUUAACUUCAGACUCAGUCUUAUAAAACUGAGCAUGGAACGAUUGCUCCAAUUGUUACCAUGUUUGAACAGAGUUUGCUGGCAAAUUGAUGAACUAAGAGAAGGCUACUCCUGUUAAUGAACUAGGGAAUAGCCUCAUUUUAUGGUAAUCAGUUACGUCACCACUUUGCAGUGUGAAUCGCCCUAUGUGUUCUAGAGUAGACACCUCUCCUAAAUCGGUAAACAGUGAGAAUUUUGGCACUUUAUACCCUCUAAGCCACGGAUACGCUUGGUCUACCCAAUCAGAAUAUGACUUUGUGUAAGUCGGCCUAAUGAUAGGAUGUACUCCGAAAGCCAUCUAGUCCUGUACUAUUUCCAUAAUCUGAUUCCUCAACAUGACGUUGGGGUCAUAUGGAAUCCCUACAGGUUGGUUGACCAGUUGAUUUGCUUGAGGCCUGAUGUUUGGUCCUUGAUUGGGAACAAAGUUACCAUAAUUUGGGCCAUUGUUACCAUUAGCCCAAACAUUUAUUCCCUCAUUAACACGUGGGGUAUUCUGCCCAUUAUUUAGGACAUUAUCUCUUACAUUUGGAUUACCCCCCCAAGUUAGACGUACCAAUGCCACUAUUCUGAUUCAGUAUUGCACUACCCCCUUGGUUUGAAGUAGAAGGAUCAAAAGGUGGUUCUACCCAUUGAUUUAAACUUAGGACUGGGGGAUUAUGUCCCACAAUUGUCCUAGUUUGAAAGUGGUUUGUAAGAGGCACAACUGGCUGACAAAUUUGGCCUACCAACUUAUUCAUUAUUUCGUUCAAAGUAUUCAGUUGUUUGGCCAUGUUGUUAUAAUGUGCAUUCCCAUUCUGGGUAAAUCUUUCCAUAUUAUGAAUACUUCGUAAAUUUACCUGUUCAACAACAUCUUGUGUGAGUUCUCCGAGUAAUGCACGCAUGGUUCGAGGACUCAACUCUGUCAUUGGUUCGUAGCGACUGUGAUUGCUCUGAUCCUGUCUAUCUGUUCGUGGAGAGCUAUGCUACUCCUCAUAUCGCUCAAUCACUUGCUAUUUCCUUAUCGAAUUUCUAAGGCAUAUUGUUUCACCUUUUGUAUCUUCAACACCAAACACCAAUGUCCCACUGGGCGUGUCAAAUUGUUUCGCGCGGGUAGUCGCUAACAAUUAAAAAGGGGUCAGACGAUUGUGUAAGGGACAAACCUCUUAAGACAAAGUCCCAAAAAGGGGUGUUUUAUUGGCAAUGACUUUGCAAUUGGAACUUAAACAGAAAUGCCUCCAAGGGGCGCAAGCACACGAGUACUGAAAAGAAAUGUUUUAAGUCUAAACUAAGGAACUGAAAUUACAUAUUCUCUGUUUGAGAGUGUUUGAUUCGGGUCCUUUGCUCUAUGUCUUUUCUUCCUUUUAUAUUCCUUUGAUGCUCUCUUUGUGAUCAACCGCUUAAUUGCUUCAUAACUGCUCACUUUCUUCAUGGUGGCCAACUUAUCGUGGAACUGUCAUCUCUAACUCCUGCCAUUACUCUUUGUCGUUCAACCGUUCUCAACUGAACAUCCUUGAAUCGUGGAGCGUGAUAAGAUUACCCAAUAACUGCUUCGAUAAUUGCACUUUUGGAUAACCAUAACAUCUCAUGUUUGCUAAGAUCUUGGGCGAUUCGAAGGUUUGGGCGAGAACAGGGUCAUAACUCUGGGCGACUGCAAGGCACUUCAUUCGCUCAGAUCUUGAGCGUCUUGUAAGUUUGGGCGAUGGUGUUACCGCGUUCGUGGGCUUCCACUGCAUUCAUUAAUAACCCUAUUUGGGCCUUUAUCCUAAAUUGCCCAGUUGGGCUUCAUUCUUUGAGCUAUUUGAAUUGGGCUGCACUUUUAGCAUGUCAACAAUUACCCUUUUCUUAUAUUGCAAAAGGUGAAAAUUUGUUCAAUUUGUGAUAGUUUUAAAUAAAGUUUACUAACAUAAUUCCUAGCUAAUUGUAAAUUGAAAUGAAUUGUAAGAUUCAAGUGAAUUGAAUUGGAACGAGAGCCAAGUGUAAAUUCUAUCUAAUUAUCAAUUGCAGGCAAUUUGUCCUACUAAUUUAAAUUGUUGAGGAAGUUAAUCAAAUUGAGUCCUCUUGUGAUGAAUAUAAGUAGUCUAUGAAGAUUUGUACAUAAUGUUUGUAUGAAGAAAGAAAUAUUCAUCAUUUUAAUGAAAUUUUUAUAGAGUAGAUGAAUAUGUAUUGGUAAAUGAAAUUUUGAAAUUGUCUUAAUUGGUAAAUAAUGGCUAGAUUUUGUUGCCAGUGGAUUUUGUGCUACUUUGUCUAUUAUUGCAAUAUGUAUCAAACUGAAAAUGAAAAUUAAAGAGUUAUGAUGCAUAUGUUGACAGAACACCAAUAUAAACUCCCCCUCAAGAACUCGAGACAGUGCUCUAAUCUACGCCCUAAACUAAAAUUUUCUUUAUAACAAAAUCUCAAAAGGGCUUAGCUUCAAUACAUAUGGGAUAUGGCUCUGAGUAUCAUCCAACUGGCUUAGUGUCAUAUGUGUAUAUGACAAGGAUGUAUCAAGAUGCUAAAAUUCAAAUCUACAAAGCUAUCUUGACUAUUUGUAGCUAAUUACUGUCGGUGUUCGAGAGAACUGAUUGGCGAAGUUCAUGUGACCAUGACUUCAUUAACUUUGACUCUUGGACAUCCUAACUUAUUUCACCACAAAUGAAAUAUGUAAAAUGCAGCGUGCUGAAUCCAUUUGCUUGCUGGCCCAAGAUUUGAGUUGGUAUUAUUUCUUUCGUUUUCGCAAACAGUUUUUUGUGCUUAUACCUUAUUGUGACAAGUCCAAACUGGUUCAUUUGAAGAACAAUGUGGAAUUAUAGGGAGACUAUUAAAUGGAAAGUUGCAAAAAUCAUUGACUAGACCAGGCUUAGGCUAGGGAAGCAAGGAUCUUCUUAGUUCAGAAACUUAUUCCCAUCAUAUUGUUUCAAUUUUAAAUUCGUUAUUUAGUGUAGAUUUGAGUAUGCCAUGCAGAUAAAUCAACGUAUAUAAUUACAAUUGUUGUCUACCUAUCAGAAUGCUACAUUAAUGUAGUUUUGUGCAUAAUUUCUACAAUGUUACCUCUUUGGCUUCUAUUAGUUUUUCUUUGAGAAAAUUGAGGUUGUUAAAGUUCUUAUACUAACACUUGUUGCUGUCGUGCCAACUUCAGCAGCAUCAAAGGGAAGAGAUGUUAAAGGCAAAUAGAGAAAGCGACGGGAUAGGAAGGAGGCAGAGAAUGCGCACACCACUCAGGGGCUUUGUCGUGUUCGACUUAUUCAUGGUCUUGUUCUUCAAUAAUGUUAGUAAAAUAUUGUAAACUUGUACUAGAUUUCCUGAAUGGUUGAUGCACUGAAUGUAUGGUUAAUGCUUUAGUACUGUUAAGUACUUCAUUUCUAGGAUAUUACCGUUUUGUACUAGAUUUCCUGAAUUUCAGUUAGUUUAAUAAAAUAAGUAUGUUGACAGUGAAUAUCGUGUGUAUUUUUUCCCUUUGAAAAC
rnacentral:lncRNA from 1 species